rnacentral:tRNA from 1 species
GGGGCAUUAGCGCAGCUGGGAGCGCGUCUCGAUGGCAUCGAGGAGGUCGUCGGUUCGAAUCCGAUAUGCUCCA